GGAGAGAUGGCCGAGCGGUCUAAGGCGCUGGUUUAAGGCACCAGUCUCUUCGGAGGCAUGGGUUCGAAUCCCACUCUCUUCA
rnacentral:tRNA from 1 species